rnacentral:rRNA from 1 species
UUGAACCCGGCAAAUAUUGUGUUGCUUCCUGAGAAGGACGAUGCGGAGGAUAUCUCGGACUUCCGCCCCAUUAAUCUCAUUCAUGCCUUUGCCAAAAUUAUUGCCAAGAUCAUGGCAAUUCACCAACAACCGUUCAUGAAUGAGUUGGUCUUCCGGUCUCAGACCGCAUUCAUCAAGACAAGAAGCAUUCACGAAAACUUCAUGUUUGUCUGUGGCUUUGCGCGACGCUUGCACUAA